rnacentral:rRNA from 1 species
UACGGAAGGCAGCAGUGGGGAAUAUUGCACAAUGGGCGAAAGCCUGAUGCAGCUAUGCCGCGUGUAUGAAGAAGGCCUUAGGGUUGUAAAGUACUUUCAUCGGGGAGGAAAAAACAAAACUAAUAAUUUUAUUUCUUGACGUUACCCGAAAAAGAAGCACCGGCUAACUCCGUGCCAGCAGCCGCGGUAAUACGGAGGGUGCUAGCGUUAAUCAGAAUUACUAGGCGUAAAGAGCACGUAGGUGGUUUUUUUAAGUCAGAUGUGAAAUCCCUGGGCUUAACCUAGGAACUGCAUUUUGAAACUGAAAUACUAGAGUAUCGUAGAGGGAGGUAGAAUUCUAGGUGUAGCGGUGAAAUGCGUAGAUAUCUGGAGGAAUACCUGUGGCGAAAGCGGCCUCCUAAACGAAUACUGACACUGAGGUGCGAAAGCGUGGGGAGCAAACAGGGAUUAGAUACC